AGACAUCUGCUGAGAAAAAAGAUUUCAGUGGAAAAGAGAUCCUUAGAAGAUGCCGUCACAAAAUACAAUGCUGUUGUGCCGGAAACUGGCAAACUCCCUUCUCCCAACGAGCUCCUGGCUGAGGAAAACUAUUCCUGGCCUUGGGAAUGUCAUGGUGAUAUGUUAAAGAAAAAAAGGUAAUGCUGCUGAACCGACUGAAGGAAGAGGAGGUCAUUGUUGUCCGUGAAGUCAAGCAGCACUGGGAGUACAUGAGGAAUAUGGCUGGAAAUAUUGAAGAGAUUUCCUCCCAGCUUUCAGAAGGGAUCACUCAGCAAAGCGGCACAGAAGCAUUGACUGGGAGAGGACGUGAGGGGCUACUCUGUCUGCUGAAGAGAAGACUGUCAGCAAUUCAAGCUCAGCAGGGUGCAGCUCGCUCAACGUACCAACAUGUUUUUGGAUCGCAAGCCUUGUCUCUCGAUGAUUCCUCCACUGAUGAUGAAGAACCCCAUGAUAGCAGCUCCUCCACCGAAGAUGAAG